rnacentral:lncRNA from 1 species
CGCCAGCAAGAAAUCAUACGCAGGACACUCGGAUCCUUCUGCAGGAAAGCUUUAAUGCGUCUUGAGAGGAGAGCAUAAGCUUACCAGAGCGGAGACCCUGAGCCAAGAAUCCCGUCCCCUAAUAAAGGCUGGCAGCCGCCGCCUGGGACGUGUCACCCCAUGAUUGGCUGUAGCUCAUCCGGCCAUAUGACGCCACGGAAUAGGCAGAGAUCAAGGAAUGGAAAUUUACCCAGCGCCUGCGCAAUAAUCUUGUUUACAUUCGGUGCCUGCCGGAUGCAGGCGCCAUCUUGUAAUGGAGAAUGCAGGGACGGCUCCCUACAGAUCCCCCUUUUUUUAUUAAUUAAUGAUAAGCUUACCAGAGCGGAGACCCUGAACCAAGAAUCCCGUCCCCUAAUAAAGGCUGGCAGCCGCCGCCUGGGACGUGUCACCCUAUGAUUGGCUGUAGCUCAUCCGGCCAUAUGACGCCACGGAAUAGGCAGAGAUCAAGGAAUGGAAAUUUACCCAGCGCCUGCGCAAUAAUCUUGUUUACAUUCGGUGCCUGCCGGAUGCAGGCGCC